rnacentral:lncRNA from 1 species
CCACUUCUCUAUCCAGAAAAAAUACAGCAUCUAUUCAGAUGAGUAAGGGUCUGGAAGUGUUCGUGUGUGCGCCGCUUCCCGUUCAAUUUGCAAUGGCUGGAGGUACGCUCGUAAUAUUUUUAAUUUCCGCUGUUUAAUCUAAAUAUGUCAUUUAAAUUGAUUUGCAUAUUUAGAUCAGUAUAUGUAUAUUUUUACAUUUGGUAUCAGAGCAUAUUUGUACCUCUGUCUUCUUGUUGGGUCGUUCCUAUUAUGCGGAGUUUAUUUUCUGAGUACAUGGGUGUUAUAUUUUAAGCCUCCUUAAUUCAAAAUAACAUCAAAAUUAGGAAUGAUAUGAGUUUUCUAAUUUUUCUAUGAUUUAAAACGUAUUUUUGGGUGUCUAAAAUGCAUAUAAUGAUGUGGGUUUUUCGAAAUUGAGGUAAUAAUUUUUUUUACCCACUGCUAGAGGUUACUGUCUUGGAAUUGUUAAUCUACAUUUUAAACUAACAAUUUUAAACAAAGUGUGACUUGAUCCAGUGGUAGAUGUGGUUUAUAUUACCUCUUUGUUGUGGGUUUGAAUCUCAGUGGAAGCUUUUUCUUUCUUGUUUUCGUUUUUAAUUAAUUAAAAGGAACGCGAAAACGUUUUGGGCUGGUUUUGAACCCUUGCCCUGCAAGCAUGAAAGGGCUCCCAUUGCCGCUAAGCUACUGUAUCUAUAACUUUUAAAGGAUAAAUCAUUUAUGCACAAACUGUUUAAAAUUGUGUGUCUCUAAGUUAUGCUGAACAUGCAAUAUUAUGUUAAAUACUGGUAUUAGUUGGAUUUAAUCCUUUAAAGUUUAUUACAUGUUGAAUGAAUAUACGUGCAAUGUUAUUUUGAAUUGGUAUACAUGUAAUUUUUAUGAUUCAAUAUUGAGCACAUUUGCAUUAUUAAGUAUGUUUAUGCAAGGAUUAUUUUUGAAUGUUAAGUGAUUAAUAUAAUUUUAUUAAAUUUUAGAAUAGCCACAACAUCUUUAAUUGAGUAAAAUUAUAUGCUAAAUUUAUAAUCACAUUAGAAAUAUUAAUUGUGAUUAAUCAUAUGUAAUGUGAUGAAAUCUACUCACAAGAAUUUUGUUAUAUUUAUAUGAUUAAUUAAGAUAAAAUAUUAAAUUAUAUUUCUUAAUUUACCCACAGGAAUUAAGGAAAAGAACAUGAUUUAAUAGUUUUAUCAUAAAGUUGCAUGAUGAAUCUAAUUGAGUAGGACUUUAGCCCACAGGCAAGUUUUGUGUCACUAGAUUCAUAUAUUGAGACAUGAUUUGCAUUGGCAAAACAUGACAUUUGUUUAGUCUCAAAUUUUCUUAAUGAGCAUGUGUGUUUGUUUGCAGUUUCACAAUCUAUGAAUAUUUCUUUUGACCUUCCCAUUUUGAAAGGUGAUAAUUAUAAGGUUUGGAAGGAAAGAGUUCUCCUUCAUUUGGGUUGGGUGGAUAUUGACUAUGCUAUAAGGAAGGAUGAGCCACCGGCUAUUACUGAAACUAGUGAACCUGAUGUUGUUGAUCUUUAUGAAAAGUGGGAGAGAUCUAAUCGUCUCUCCGUUAUGUUCAUAAAAACCAACAUAUCCGCUAAUAUCCGGGGUUCAGUUGACCAGCAUGAUAAGGUCAGAGAUCUGUUGAAAGCCAUUGAUGAACAGUUUACGGCCUCUGAGAAGUCGCUUGCUAGCACACUCAUUAUGCAAUUCUCUUCCAUUAAGCUUACUGGAACGAGAGGUGUGCGUGAACAUAUCAUGCACUUAAGGGACAUAGUGGCUCAGUUGAAAACCCUGGAAGUUACCAUGUCUGAAUCCUUCCUGGUACAUUUCAUUUUGUGCACCCUACCUCAACAGUAUACACCCUUCAAAAUCUCCUACAACACACAUAAGGAUAAAUUGUCUAUUAAUGAAUUGAUGACCAUGUGUGUUCAAGAAGAGGAGAGAUUGAUAAUGGAAGAGGGUGAGAAGGUAAAUUUGACUACUUCUACUUCUGGAAAGGAUAAGAAGAAGUCUGUAGGCACCAAUAAAGGAAAGAUUCCAACUCAACCAACAAUUAAAAAGGAGUCAAAGUGUUUCUUCUGUAAAAAGAAAGGACACAUGAAGAAGGACUGCCCCAAAUUUAAAAGUUGGUUUGAGAAGAAAGGUACACCAUUGACUUUCGUUUGUUAUGAAUCUAAUAUGAUUAAUGUGAAUCAUAAUACAUGGUGGAUUGACUCUGGUUCUACAAUCCAUGUUUCUAAUACCUUGCAGGGUAUGGAAAGCCUAAGGAAGCCAGUGGGAAGUGAGCAGUGCAUCUACUCAGGGAGUAGGAUGAUCUCGCAUGUAGAGGCCAUUGGAACGUGCGUCUUAGUUUUAAGUAGUGGCUUUAAAUUACAUUUGGAGAAAGUUUUUUAUGUUCCUAGUUUUUGUAAAAACUUAAUUUCUGUUUCUAAACUUGCACCUUUGGGAUUUUGUUUUAAUUUUACAGACUUUGGUUUUAAUUUACUAAAUAAAUCUGAAAUUAUUGGUUGUGGUCAAUUGGUUGAUGGUCUUUAUUCGAUUGAAUUGAAAAACGACGCUACUUCUAUGCACGUUUCUGUUGGGUUAAAACGAUGUAUUGUGAAUGAAGAAUCCUCUAUGUUGUGGCACCGGAGAUUAGGACAUAUCUCUAUUGAGAGAAUCAAGCGAUUAGUAAAUGAAGGAGUACUUAGUACUUUGGAUUUCGCUGAUUUUGAGACUUGUGUAGAUUGCAUUAAGGGUAAGCAAACUAACAAGUCUAAAAAGGGUGCAAAGAAGAGUUCUAAUUUAUUAGAAAUCAUACAUACAGACAUAUGUUGUCCAGACAUGGAUGGAAAUAGUCUGAAAUACUUCAUAACCUUUAUAGAUGAUUAUUCACGAUAUAUGUAUCUCUACUUACUUCAUUCUAAGAACGAAGCUUUAGAUGCCUUUAAAGUUUUUAAGGCUGAAGUUGAGAAACAAUGUGGAAAACAAAUUAAGAUCGUGAGAUCAGAUAGAGGUGGGGAGUACUAUGGUAGAUACACAGAGGAUGGACAAGCACCAGGUUCAUUUGCGAAAUUUCUUCAAGAACAUGAGAUUGUUGCCCAAUACACUAUGCCUGGUUCUCCGGAUCAGAAUGGCGUGGCAGAACGAAGAAAUCGAACCUUAUUAGACAUGGUGAGAAGCAUGAGGAGUAAUGUAAAGCUUCCUCAAUUUUUGUGGAUUGAUGCUCUUAAGACGGCUGCGUAUAUAUUAAACUGAGUUCCAACCAAGGUUGUCUCAAAGACACCUUUUGAGUUAUUCAAGGGUUGGAAACCAAGUUUGCGACAUAUACGCGUUUGGGGAUGCCCGUCUGAAGUAAGAAUUUAUAAUCCACAAGAGAAGAAACUAGACCCUAAGACUAUUACUAGGUAUUUCAUUGGAUAUGCUGAAAGGUCUAAAGGGUAUAGGUUCUAUUGUCUAUCCCACAACACUAGGAUUGUGGAAUCAAGGAAUGCAAAGUUUCUUGAAAAUGACUUGAUCAGUGGGAGUGAUCAAUUUAAGAACAUUUCUUCUAAAAGAGAUCACUAUGAAGCUGAACCUUCUGGGACAAGUAAUAGGUUAGUAGUCAUUCCCACCCCUCAAGUUAAAAUGGGUGUUAGACAACCAGUGAUUGAAGUUCCACAAGCUGUUGAAAGUGAUCAUGUAGAUCAAGUUGUUUGUGAGGAACAACAUGAUGAUAUUGAACAAACUGGUGAAGAACCAGUUGAACAAGUUCCUCAACAAGAUGACCAAACAACAUUAAGAAGAUCUACUAGAGUAAAAAAGAUAGCAAUUCCUAGUGAUUAUGUAGUGUACGUACAAGAAUCAGACUACAACAUUGGAGCCAAAAAUGAUCCUGAGACGUUUUCACAAGCCAUGAGUUCUAAGGAAUCAAAUUUGUGGUAUAAUGCUAUGAGGGAUGAGAUGGAUUCUAUGGCAUCUAACCAAGUUUGGGAUCUCGUUGAGUUGCCUGUUGGUGUAAAAGCCAUCGGAUGUAGAUGGGUCUUCAAAGCAAAGAAAGACUCAGAAGGCAACAUUGAGAGACAUAAGGCAAGACUUGUUGCUAAAGGAUUCACUCAAAGAGAAGGAAUCGAUUACAGAGAGACCUUUUCCCCUGUAUCUAAGAAAGACUCUCUUCGAGUAAUUUUGGCAUUAGUAGCUCAUUUUGAUCUUGAGUUGCAUCAAAUGGAUGUGAAAACGGCGUUCCUAAAUGGUGAUCUAGAAAAAGAGGUUUACAUGAAACAACCUGAGGGAUUCCUAUCUAGUGUUGGUGAGCACUUAGUUUGCAAGCUUAAUAAGUCCAUCUAUGGAUUGAAACAAGCUUCCCGCCAAUGGCAUUUAAAAUUUCAUGAGGUCAUUUCUUCAUUUAGCUUUGAAGAGAAUGUCAUGGAUCACUGUAUAUACCAGAAGGUCAGUGAGAGUAAGAUUUGUUUCCUUGUAUUAUACGUAGAUGAUAUUCUGCUUGCGACUAAUGAUAAGGGUAUGCUAUAUGAGGUGAAACAAUUUCUCUCAAAGAACUUUGAUAUGAAGGAUAUGGGAGAGGCAUCUUAUGUCAUAGGCAUAAAGAUCCAUAGAGAAAGAUCUCGAGGCAUUUUAGGCUUGUCUCAAGAAACCUAUAUCAACAAAGUUUUAGAGAGAUUUAAUAUGAAAUAUUGUUCACCAAGUGUAGCUCCCAUUGUGAAGGGUGACAAACUUGCUUUGAGUCAAUGCCCCAAAAAUGAUUUUGAGCGGGAACACAUGAAAAAUAUUCCAUAUGCUUCAGCAGUUGGAAGCCUUAUGUAUGCUCAGGUUUGCACUAGACCUGAUAUUGCAUUCGCUGUUGGAGUCUUGGGAAGAUAUCAAAGUAAUCCAGGUAUUGACCACUGGAAAGAUGCAAAGAAAGUGAUGAGAUAUCUUCAAGGAACAAAGGAUUACAUGCUCAUGUACAGACAAACUGAUUGUCUGGAAGUGAUUGACUACUCCGACUCAGACUUUGCUGGUUGCGUUGAUUCACGAAGAUCAACAUCUGGAUAUAUUUUUAUGUUAGCCAGUGGAGCUGUAUCUUGGAGAAGUGCCAAACAAACCUUGACUGCUACUUCCACUAUGGAGGCUGAGUUUGUUUCUUGUUUUGAGGCUACCUCGCAUGGAGAUGAUAUUCUGCUUGCGACUAAUGAUAAGGGUAUGCUAUAUGAGGUGAAACAAUUUCUCUCAAAGAACUUUGAUAUGAAGGAUAUGGGAGAGGCAUCUUAUGUCAUAGGCAUAAAGAUCCAUAGAGAAAGAUCUCGAGGCAUUUUAGGCUUGUCUCAAGAAACCUAUAUCAACAAAGUUUUAGAGAGAUUUAAUAUGAAAUAUUGUUCACCAAGUGUAGCUCCCAUUGUGAAGGGUGACAAACUUGCUUUGAGUCAAUGCCCCAAAAAUGAUUUUGAGCGGGAACACAUGAAAAAUAUUCCAUAUGCUUCAGCAGUUGGAAGCCUUAUGUAUGCUCAGGUUUGCACUAGACCUGAUAUUGCAUUCGCUGUUGGAGUCUUGGGAAGAUAUCAAAGUAAUCCAGGUAUUGACCACUGGAAAGCUGCAAAGAAAGUGAUGAGAUAUCUUCAAGGAACAAAGGAUUACAUGCUCAUGUACAGACAAACUGAUUGUCUGGAAGUGAUUGACUACUCCGACUCAGACUUUGCUGGUUGCGUUGAUUCACGAAGAUCAACAUCUGGAUAUAUUUUUAUGUUAGCCAGUGGAGCUGUAUCUUGGAGAAGUGCCAAACAAACCUUGACUGCUACUUCCACUAUGGAGGCUGAGUUCGUUUCUUGUUUUGAGGCUACCUCGCAUGGUGUAUGGUUGAAGAGUUUCAUAUCUGACCUUAGAGUUGUGGACUCUAUUUCUAGGCCAUUAAAGUUGUAUUGUGACAACUUUGCUGCGGUGUUUAUGGCUAAAAAUAACAAAAGUGGAAGUCGAAGUAAGCACAUCGACAUUAAGUACUUAGUCAUAAGAGAACGUGUUAAAGAAAAGAAAGUGGUCAUUGAACACGUUAACACUGAGUUGAUGAUUGCUGAUCCUUUAACUAAAGACAUGCCACCAAAGAAUUUUAAGGAUCAUGUUGUACGAAUGAGACUUGGUUCCAUGAUGUAAUUUCAUUGUACAUACAUUUGUUAUUUUCAAUGAAACUCUUAUUCAGUUAGAUAUUUUCUCAUAUGGUUUUGUGCACAUAUUUAUUUAUUUCGAGAAAAAUCAUUCGGUUUAGAUAUAGAAUAAACAUAUGGUUUAUUCAUUAAGUUGAGAGCUAGUGUUGAGAGACUUGAUAUAUUGUGGUACAUGGAAGAUACUACUCAUUAUCAGAGGACCUAUCGCCAUGACUCAUAUAUUAUGUUUCUUGUUAUGGUUGAUGUUGAGUUAAAUGGACCAAGUGGGAGAAUGUUGGAAGCCCAUGUUGCAUUCACGUUCCAUGUUCUUUUAUAUUUUAUUAUUUUGGAAAAUUUAGUUAUUUCUGAAUCUGGUCCAUUUUCCAUCCACAUUCAAUCCAUAUCUUUGCAAAUAUAUUUGCAACCACCUUCAGUAACAAAUCACGUACCCAUCAUUUAUCUCACGUACUGAUAACUUCCUAUCUCUUGUUCUGAUAACAAGUUGAGCUCUGUGAUGGACAAACUCUAUAAAUAGGAUGGGGUGCUCUCAGUUUUGUAUCACCAAACUCACUUCUCUAUCCAAAAAAAAUACAUCAUCUAUUCAGAGUGAGUAAGGGUCUGGAAGAACAAAACUGUCUUUCAGGUUCGUGUGUGCACCGCUUCCCGUUCAAUUUGCAAUGGCUGGAGGUACGCUCGUAAUAUUUUUAAUUUCCGCUGUUUAAUCUAAAUAUGUCAUUUAAAUUGAUUUGCAUGUUUAGAUUAGUAUAUGUAUAUUUUUAUAUGGACAUCAUUUAUUAGCAAAGCAAAUUGUUUAAAUGAGGUUAAUUCUUUUUACGGUAACAUUUUCAAUCUUUUGUUUGAGUCUCUAUGAUAGACCAUGAAC